UACGAAGGGGACUAGCGUUGUUCGGAAUCACUGGGCGUAAAGCGCACGUAGGCGGAUUCGUAAGUCAGGGGUGAAAUCCCGGGGCUCAACCUCGGAGCUGCCUUUGAUACUGCGGAUCUUGAGUCCGAUAGAGGCGGGUGGAAUUCCUAGUGUAGAGGUGAAAUUCGUAGAUAUUAGGAAGAACACCGGUGGCGAAGGCGGCCCACUGGAUCGGUACUGACGCUGAGGUGCGAAAGCGUGGGGAGCAAACAGG
rnacentral:rRNA from 1 species